UACUAUGCAGUCGACGGCAUCACAUAAGAGCUUGCUCUUUGGGUGGCGAGUGGCGGACGGGUGAGUAAUGUCUGGGAAACUGCCCGAUGGAGGGGGAUAACUACUGGAAACGGUACCUAAUACCGCAUAACGUCUCUCCACCAAGGUGGGGGACCUUCGGGCCUCACACCAUCGGAUGUGCCCAUAUGGGAUUAGCUAGUAAGUGGGGUAAUGGCUCACCUAGGCGACGAUCCCUAGCUGGUCUGACAGGAUGACCAGCCACACUGGAACUGAGACACGGUCCAGACUCCUACGGGAGGCAGCAGUGGGGAAUAUUGCACAAUGGGCGCAAGCCUGAUGCAGCCAUGCCGCGUGUAUGAAGAAGGCCUUCGGGUUGUAAAGUACUUUCAGCGGGGAGGAAGGCGGUGAGGUUAAUAACCUUGCCUAUUGACGUUACCCGCAGAACAAGCACCGGCUAACUCCGUGCCAGCAGCCGCGGUAAUACGGAGGGUGCAAGCGUUAAUCGGAAUUACUGGGCGUAAAGCGCACGCAGGCGGUCUGUUAAGUCAGAUGUGAAAUCCCCGGGCUUAACCUGGGAACUGCAUUUGAAACUGGCAGGCUUGAGUCUCGUAGAGGGGGGUAGAAUUCCAGGUGUCCCGGUGAAAUGCGUAGAUAUCUGGAGGAAUACCGGUGGCGAAGGCGGCCCCCUGGACUUAUACUGACGCUCAGGUGCUAAAGCGUGGGGAGCUAACAAGAUUACAUGCUGGUUUUCCAAAAAGUGUCAAU
rnacentral:rRNA from 1 species